rnacentral:rRNA from 1 species
UACAGAGGGUGCAAGCGUUUGUUCGGAAUUACUGGGCGUAAAGCGCACGUAGGCGGCUUUGUAAGUUAGAGGUGAAAGCCCGGGGCUCAACCCCGGAAUUGCCUUUAAGACUGCAUCGCUUGAAUCCGGGAGAGGUGAGUGGAAUUCCGAGUGUAGAGGUGAAAUUCGUAGAUAUUCGGAAGAACACCAGUGGCGAAGGCGGCUCACUGGACCGGUAUUGACGCUGAGGUGCGAAAGCGUGGGGAGCAAACAGG